ACGAUGAAGCCCAGCUUGCUGGGUGGAUUAGUGGCGAACGGGUGAGUAACACGUGAGUAACCUGCCCUUAACUCUGGGAUAAGCCUGGGAAACUGGGUCUAAUACCGGAUAGGAGCGUCCACCGCAUGGUGGGUGUUGGAAAGAUUUAUCGGUUUUGGAUGGACUCGCGGCCUAUCAGCUUGUUGGUGAGGUAAUGGCUCACCAAGGCGACGACGGGUAGCCGGCCUGAGAGGGUGACCGGCCACACUGGGACUGAGACACGGCCCAGACUCCUACGGGAGGCAGCAGUGGGGAAUAUUGCACAAUGGGCGCAAGCCUGAUGCAGCGACGCCGCGUGAGGGAUGACGGCCUUCGGGUUGUAAACCUCUUUCAGUAGGGAAGAAGCGAAAGUGACGGUACCUGCAGAAGAAGCACCGGCUAACUACGUGCCAGCAGCCGCGGUAAUACGUAGGGUGCGAGCGUUAUCCGGAAUUAUUGGGCGUAAAGAGCUCGUAGGCGGUUUGUCGCGUCUGUCGUGAAAGUCCGGGGCUUAACCCCGGAUCUGCGGUGGGUACGGGCAGACUAGAGUGCAGUAGGGGAGACUGGAAUUCCUGGUGUAGCGGUGGAAUGCGCAGAUAUCAGGAGGAACCCGAUGGCGAAGGCAGGUCUCUGGGCUGUAACUGACGCUGAGGAGCGAAAGCAUGGGGAGCGAACAGGAUUAGAUACCCUGGUAGUCCAUGCCGUAAACGUUGGGCACUAGGUGUGGGGACCAUUCCACGGUUUCCGCGCCGCAGCUAACGCAUUAAGUGCCCGCCUGGGGAGUACGGCCGCAAGGCUAAAACUCAAAGGAAUUGACGGGGGCCCGCACAAGCGGCGGAGCAUGCGGAUUAAUUCGAUGCAACGCGAAGAACCUUACCAAGGCUUGACAUGUUCUCGAUCGCCGUAGAGAUACGGUUUCCCCUUUGGGGCGGGUUCACAGGUGGUGCAUGGUUGUCGUCAGCUCGUGUCGUGAGAUGUUGGGUUAAGUCCCGCAACGAGCGCAACCCUCGUUCCAUGUUGCCAGCACGUAGUGGUGGGGACUCAUGGGAGACUGCCGGGGUCAACUCGGAGGAAGGUGAGGACGACGUCAAAUCAUCAUGCCCCUUAUGUCUUGGGCUUCACGCAUGCUACAAUGGCCGGUACAAUGGGUUGCGAUACUGUGAGGUGGAGCUAAUCCCAAAAAGCCGGUCUCAGUUCGGAUUGGGGUCUGCAACUCGACCCCAUGAAGUCGGAGUCGCUAGUAAUCGCAGAUCAGCAACGCUGCGGUGAAUACGUUCCCGGGCCUUGUACACACCGCCCGUCAAGUCACGAAAGUCGGUAACACCCGAAGCCGGUGGCCU
rnacentral:rRNA from 1 species